rnacentral:lncRNA from 1 species
CUACUAUACUAUCUAUAAUACCGAGCACCGGUACUAUAGUGUUGGUUUUCGAUCUUAGGGCGUUCAAAUCAACGAUCCACACCGUUAAAACUGAUCUAGGGUGAGGGUAUAUUAAAAUUUCUAAGAGAAUAAAUUUUAUAUUUUUUCGACAUAGUUUUAUUUUAUGAUCAAACUAAUUUCAAAAUUGUCAAUUUUCAAUGGCUAUUAUGACGAGUUUGGAGUUUAACGGUGUAGAAUAAUCUAAAUUUUUUCAAAUUUGAUAGAAAAUACUUUAAACUAUUAACAUUAAGUUAACAUUCUUGAUCUUGAAUUUAAAGAUCCUAUGCUCAAAUUUUAAAAGAUUAUUCAAUUUCCACCGUCCAUAUUUCGAUAUAAUUUAUUUACUAAGUAAACGAUAUCGAACAGAAACUAAAAUUUAUUCCUAAGAAUUCAUGCAUCCACCGUCGCUCACCCGUCAUCACCGAACCCACAAAGUGAUGAUGGUGACCAGCCAACAAGGCUUAGCGACCACUCACAGAGCAACCAAACGACGUCGGAAGAAAUCCGAACCGAAACCGCGUUCUUUCGGCGAAUUUCGCCGAAAAACGCAUCGAAAUCGACUCUUCGAUUUCUGCAAAAGCUAACGGAUCAUGGACAAUCAGUCCAGAGGACACCACACAUGCCUACACACUGUCCACAGUAGCCCCAAGGCUCACAAUUGCGCAAAAGCCCCUGAAUUUACAUAAAAUCCUAAUAUUUUAUGUAAAUCGGGCGAUAACAUAGCCCGUACACGCAAACCGAGGACUUCUAAGUUCUGCUGAGACACAUACUGAUAGGUCUCGACGUACCGGAGGCCGUGCUCAUGGUCUGGAGCGCAACAGGUCACUGUGGGAAGCGCGGGAGCAACCCGAAGGUUCAGCGAACAGCACGCAGUCGGGGAAGAUUGCUCCAAACAGGGCUAGCCGGACACUGUUGAUCCAAAGUGAGGUGAGCACUGUGAUCGGAACUGACCCACGAUCACCGUGCUCACCUCCGGAGGCAUCAGGACAGCCUCGGAUCGCCGGAUAAGCGUGCGCAAAACCCAAAACAGCAGCCAAACAGGCUCGACAGGGUCGACACUGCCGAAACAGCGGAACGGAGUCCCCCCGGCAGAAUCUAAGGUGAGCACGAUGAUCAGAAAUUUUCUACGAUCAUCGUGCUCCCUUUCGCAGAGAUCGGGGAGGCUCAGGAAGCUCAGAACAGUAAACCAUCCCAAACUAAGACCUAUUUCAGGCUUGGCCGGAGCAAGGUUGCUCCGGCCGGCCUCCGGCGGCACGGCGGCGCGCGUGGGGGCCAGGGAUGGGUGCGGGGGAGGUGAGGAACACGAUGCUCACCUCCGUUGGCGGCGGGGUGCGGCGGCGGCGUCGGCGGAGCAAGGCAUGCCCGCACGAGCUAGGGCACGGGUCCGGGGGGUGUUGCGGCCACGGCGACGGCCGGGGCAGGUCGGGGACGACGGCGGCAGGUCCACAGAGGCCGGAGGAGAAGGAGGAGGAAAGCGGCGGGCGACAGCGGCGGCGGCCCGCGGCUCGGGCGUUGCCGCUCGAGCUAGGCUCGGUCUGCAGGCCUAGGCGGCGGCGCCCAAGGUUCAGGGCGGCGGCGGCGACCCGAAGGGCGGCGGCGACCGGCCGGGAAAGUCGGUGGGACACAGGAGAAGGCCGUGCGUGUGGACCAAGGCGGCUGCGGCGCUGGGGUGGAGUACCAAGUCUGCUCGGUCCGAGCAGACCUGGGAUGGCUGCAGGGUGGCCGCGGCGGCGGCGGCGGCCCGCAGGAGCGCCGGCGACCCGCCGGGGUGGUCGCCGAGGGUCCGGGGAUGGCGGUCGGAACGGGUGCAGGCGGUGGUUGCGCGCGGGGGAGGCCGCGAGUCAUCCUCGACCUAAGCUCGGCCUAGGCAGCAGCCGGGUGCAGCAGCGGCCGCGGCGGCGCUUGGCGACGGCGGCGGUCGGCGGGGAUGCUCGCCGGAGCACGGGGCGACACCGGCGGAGGGUCUGGAGGUGGCGGCAGUCUCGGGCUUCCUCACAACCCGAGAUAAGAGAGAGGGAGAGAGGGAUAGAGAUGGAGAGGGAGAGAAAGUGGAGAGGGAAGCCGGGGAGGUCCCUCCGGCGACCGCAGCGGCUUGCCGGCGGCCAAGGCGCGCGCAUGGGGUGGGCAGGGAGGAGGUCAAGCGGUUAGGAGGCUAGGGUUAUCUCGGAAUGGUGUAGGGUUAGGGUUUCACAUGAAAACCCUAACUCUUUUAGCCUUAUACUAGAGACAAAUUGCAAGUAAGUCCUCCAAAGCUCAAAAUUUCAUAAUGAGUCCUCCACAGCGCGUGUAAAACGCGAGAAUACCCCUCCAUGUACGAUCCCACGCAAAACGGCACAUAAAAUAUCGUAUCUUUUGCGAAAUUACAAUUUUGCCAACACCGACCUCUCUUCGAUCAACGUGCGAUCUCCGCAGAUCCGUCCAUCGGAUUUGCGAACGGAUCACACCAGUGCGAUCAGCACCUCGGAGACAACAAAGCUACACAUUCGAUUCAUCUCGAUCGACCACGGAUUCACAACAAAAUCCAACCUUCUUCCAAUAGAAGGAAACACACACACAAAUACAUAUGAAACAUGUAUUUUUGAAUUUUCUCGAAAUCCGUGCGCCAAACUCAAAAUCCAUCAGCGCCACUAGUUCCAGAACAGCUGAACCGGUCGAAACGAGCUAUUGGACUGAUAUGAACGGAGUCCGAUACGCACCAGAAGCCAACUCUACUCCGUGGCUUCUCCGGAAAACCGGAGUUACUAUUCACUUAAGUGAAAACUAAAAAUCGCGUAUCUUCUCCAUUUUAGCUCAGUUUCUCCUGAAACUUGACGAGUGCUUAUGUAAUUAAAUUACACACAUAAACAUCGUCAACGGAGAGUUUAGUUGCACUGUCAAAAAUCUCAGUCCUUACAUAGGGUAUUUAAAAUUUCUAGAAAUAAAAUUUUAUAUUUUUUCGACAUAGUUUAUUUUAUGAUCAAACUAUUUCAAAAUUGUCAAUUUUCAAUGGCUAUUAUGACGAGUUUGGAGUUUAACGGUGUAGAAUAAUCUAAAUUUUUUCAAAUUUUGAUAGAAAAUACUUUAAACUAUAUAAAUUAAGGUUAACAUUCUUGAUCUUGAAUUUAAAAGUCCUAUGCUCAAAUUUUAAAGAUUAUUCAAUUUCCACCGUCCAUUUUGAUAUAAUUUAUUUACUAAGUAAACGAUAUCGAAACAAACUAAAAUUUUAUUCCUAAGAAAUUCAUAUACCCUAGAUCAUAUUUAACGGUGUGGAUCGUUGAUUUGAACGCCCUAAGAUCGAAAACAAACACUAUAGUACCGGAGCUCAGUACUAUAGAUAGUAUAGGAGCCUAAUUCUAUAUAUAUAUAUAUAUAUAAUACAGAUUUUUAUUAUUUGAAUUUUUGCCCAAUCGAAAUAUGAAAUCCAACUCAAUUAUAAAAAAACACAUUUAUAUGUAAAAUUUUAAUAAUUAGAUUAAAAUCUAAUAGUAAGAUCUCAUAAAUUUAUUUUUUAUAUAUAUUAUCACUAAUUUUUUUAACUUAUUGUUUCUGAGCUAGCUCGUAUUCGGCUCGUUUAUUAACUUGUUGUUCGUGAGCAAGCUCGUGUUCGGCUUGUUAAUAAACGACCCAAGCAUGAGUUGAAUUUUUCGGUUUGAUGCGUUAACAAGCAAACUCGCGUUCGAUUUGAUUAUAAAACGAGCCGGUCCCAGCUCGCUCGUAUUCAACUUGUUGACAGCCCUAGUCAGAGGUCUAGUUGAGGGGAUUCAGUAGUG